ensembl:misc_RNA 7SK 7SK RNA
GGAUGCAAGGGUGAUGUGGCUGCAACAUCUGUGACCCCAUUGAUCUCCAGGGUUGAUUCAGCUGAUGUGGCUGGCUAGGCGGCUAUCCUCUUUGUCCCUCACCACUCCAUGGGUCUGCCUCCCUCCCAAAGCUGCAUGCUUAAUGGAAAAGGACAACCAUCCCCAAUGGAGGAAGACCAAUCUUCAGUCAAGGGUAUAUGAGUAGCUGCACUCCCCUGCUGGAACCUCCACCCAGGUUCUCAGAAGCUCAGGGAUGACAUGAAAGAGAACACACGGUCUCUUUUCACAGCUGUUCUUUUCUAAAAGCAGUC